AUAAAUCGGUUCAUUUUUCACGGAAAUAAUCAGCCCUACCCGACAGGGUACUGUACCUGUAUUUAGAUACUACUGUACACGUCAAAUAAACAGCUAGAAGAAGACUAACAGAUUCUGAGACAAAGGAGUCAAAUAUCGGCGAAUCGCGAAUUCAAUCAACGAUUUAUCCUCAAUUUCCCAUACUCAGGUUUGAGCACUAAUGGUGAAACCAAAGCAAAGGCAUCAGCUGCCUGUAAAUAGUGGAUCUGCGCAAGAAACUGAUGGAGAACAUGACUGGGUGAUAGUCAAGAAGCAGAAAGUUACUAUAUUGAUCCCUCCUUUACCUGUUACUAAAAAGUCUGCAAUGCCUAACCCAAAGCAAAAUCAAUUACAAGAUAAACUUGGGAACUCAGUCAAUGUUCAGUCACCUCCUUUGAUCAAACCAAAUUUCUGGAGACACUCAGAUACUAACGGAGAAAAAUCUGUAUCUAUAACUCGUGAAAAAACUAUUCCAGAUUUUGAAAAGCCUUUUGCUUCUCAAACCAUUUCGCCAGCUCCAUGUCCACUAAAGCCAGAUACCCUACAGCCCAGAAUAGGUUCUAAAUUUCCUGUUGUUCAGUAUUCUGGAUAUAAAAGGGCAGUUGGGGUACGUAGUGCCUCCAAAUUGAAGAGAAAGACCAAAAGCUUCCGUGACGGAAAUUUGAGACUUCAUCAGAGUUUAAGGGCAUCAAAUCUUGAGAGGAAGCUGCGGAGGGCUGGGGGGUUGAGUCGCUGGCUGACCUCACUGGGACUUGAUCAGUUUGUUACAUUUUUCGAAAGUAGAAGGGUCAGCAAAUUUCAGUUGGUGAACCUCACUAUGAAGAAGCUCAAGGACAUGGGAGUAGCAGCUGUUGGACCUCGCAGAAAACUGAUGCACUCAAUCGACUGCCUUUGCCAGCCACACUGUUUCGUGGCCUUGUAAAUGCUGCCAGGUGUAAAAACAUUUGAGCAUGAAGGAAUCACUAUAAGUGAAACACAUGCUCUAUAUUUAGCGGAUGAAUAGGGGUACACCUUUUACUGUUUUAUGCCAGAGGUAACUUUCGUUUA